CGAAGAACCUUACCAAGGCUUGACAUCGCCGGAAAACUCGCAGAGAUGCGGGGUCCUUUUGGGCCGGUGACAGGUGGUGCAUGGCUGUCGUCAGCUCGUGUCGUGAGAUGUUGGGUUAAGUCCCGCAACGAGCGCAACCCUCGUUCCAUGUUGCCAGCAACCUCUUCGGAGGGUUGGGGACUCAUGGGAGACUGCCGGGGUCAACUCGGAGGAAGGUGGGGAUGACGUCAAGUCAUCAUGCCCCUUAUGUCUUGGGCUGCAAACAUGCUACAAUGGCCGGUACAGAGGGCUGCGAUACCGUAAGGUGGAGCGAAUCCCUUAAAGCCGGUCUCAGUUCGGAUUGGGGUCUGCAACUCGACCCCAUGAAGUCGGAGUCGCUAGUAAUCGCAGAUCAGCAACGCUGCGGUGAAUACGUUCCCGGGUCUUGUACACACCGA
rnacentral:rRNA from 1 species